GCCGAGGACAAACUCCUUUGUGAGUGCUGGAGGGACAUUGAGCAAGACCCCAAGGUCGGCGCUGAACAAAAGACAUCAACCUUUUGGAUUCGUGUCCACCAUGAGUUCCAUGAACGCAAGAAUCUUGCGUUGUACCAAAUGCAUAGCACAGGUGGGUGGGUGUCCAUUUUAAAGCGAUGGAGGGUGAUCCAACAAGAGUGCAACAAGUUUUGUGCCACUCCUGAGAGCAUCAAGGCACGCCCCAUGAGCGGCAUCGACAUGCAAGACAGGGUAUGCAUGCGCCCCUCUUUGUUUUCAUUCCGUUUAUGCUUGCAUGUCCAUUUGCAUAUCCAUUAG
rnacentral:rRNA from 1 species